UUUACACAAGUACAAGUACUAGUACUGGUCCUUUGAUUCAUUUGAUUGUUAUCGUUCGAAAGUUUUUUUAAAUAACAUUUUAUUAUCGAAACGAAACAAUCAUUUUAUUAUGAAGGAAGAUCCAAGACAAGAAUUUAAAACUAAUAGCUGGAAUAAGAUGAAUGUACAGCAACUUCAGACCGGGAUGGAGGGAACCUACACGCCAGUAUUCCUGGCCAGUCCUCCAUGGAAAUGCCUUGAUCACUCCGCCCUGUGACUAGCAGAACUGGAUAUUGGAGUAUGGCAAAAGUUUCCCUAGCCUAGCCUGGCUCUGACACUCUUUUUAACCGACUUCAACAAAAGGGGUUGUCGAUAUCGUUUUGUUGUUUGUUUACUUUGUAUUAGUUGUCUUGAUGUCUGGUUGUAUAGUUGAUUGAAGGUUAAGUGUCUGAUCGUUGUCUGAACAGUACUAUUCUUUAGCUGGUAUGUCUACAGGUCUCCUGUCAUCUUCACAAUGUCCUUGUGAAGAGUUUAUUAUUUUUGAUGUCAUUGGUUGAUGUGUAAUCAAGAUGAUCAAUACUAAUGGUUGUAAAAAUAUAAUAUAUUAUUAUAUAUUACUAAUACUUAUGUAUUAUGGUCAAUAUAACGCACACACUCCCAUAAACCGUUACUGAAAAGUAAAUUUAGGAGGUGUGCUUGGUAUAAAAUAAUCAUAUAAAAUUUACUAUUUAUUUAUAUUAUAUAUUUAUAUAUAAUUCAAAAAAAAAAAUAAUCUCAAAAAUGUGUAUUCAUACAAAAUUCUGGCAAGGUUGUAUAGAAUUAGAUUGCAUUUGUUAGUUGUUGGGUUAAGAUUCGACAAAUUAAAAAAGUUAGGGAAUAGCAGCUGAGAAAGCUGGGCUGGGCUGCAAGUACCACACUAUGGGUAAUUAAACACUACUUUGCAACUUCUUCACUGGUUUCCUUUUUACAUAUUAUUUUGUCUGUAAGCUGUUAUUAGAGAAUUGUCGAUUUCUCAACAGCAUGAGACUUCGCAUGUUAUUUUACGUCAUUGUUUUGUGAAUUUUUGUGUUUCUUUGAGUGACACAAAGUACUUUGCGUCGUUGUUCCACGAUAUUUUCAUAAAAAAUAUUGGCGGACUUAAAUUAUGGGUUAACAAAUAUAGAAUAUAUACCUAUUAUUUAGCGUGUAUUUAUUUAGGAUAAAAAAAUUAGGUAUAAAAAUUAUCUUUUAAAAUUGUAAUCAUUAUAAAAAUGUAAACAUUAUUAUUUUCCAUAUAUUUAUUUAAAACACUCUAAAAUUAUAUUUUUAAACAUUACUUAUAAAAAUAAAAAACAAAAUAACAUUUAAAAAUAUAAAAAUAGGAGCCGACCAGUAGCGGGAGCAUGGUCCAAGCUACCGGUGGUUAGGGCUCCAAAGACAGAAACCUCCUCACAAUACGUGCCGUUUCGAGGAGUACUGCCUUCUGCAUCAGGCCCUUGAUCCAUCCGCCCAACCCCAGCCUUCUAAGGUGGUUGUCGAGGCUGUUGGGUAUUAAACCGUUGGCCGACACGACUAUCGGCACAACGAUAGCCGAAUCCACAUUCCACAUGUCGACAACCUCGUGAGCCAAGUCAAGAUAUUUUAUUUUAAAACAUUAUUAUCAUUAACAGACUCAAACAUUUGGAAAGUAUUUAUGAAAAACUACUCGCUAUAACAAAUAGACUUUAAAAACACAAAACCAAAUCUCAUGAUACUAAAAAUAAGAGAUCAAUUGUUUUUAGAUCACAAUCUUUAAAAAUCAAUCAAUCGAUAAAUCUCAAAAUAAUGUUACUCUUAAAAUAAUUAAUUUUACUCAUUCAGAAUCAGAAUCGUUAUCAAUUUCAAGUGUGGUAGUCUGACCAUGUGUCAGGGUUCUAACAUAUUCAUGGUACUUGGUGGGUAUGAUCCCAGUCUUGCACAAAUUCAUCAGAUCUCUUUGUCUUUAGUCUAAUGGCGAUCGGUUCAAAAUAGGCUUUUUUAAGAAUAUAUGUACGGUUUCUAGUCUCCUUACAUGUUAUUAAAAUCAUGAAUACAUCAUCCAAAUUAUAUUUAUACUAGAUGAAAACCCGGCUUUGCUCGGGUAAAAUUUGAAUCAUUAUACACAAACAUCUAGGUGCAAAAUGUAGAUAGAUGUUUCUGUAGUCAUCGGUUCUCAAAGAAUAUUAAAUAUAGAUUCAUAUAGCUUCGUUAGUUGUAUUUAAUAAAUAAAUAUGGUAAAUAAAAACUGCAAAAGUUUUCACACAAAUUAUUUUUAUUUUAAAUCAGCAUAAACUAAUAAACUAAGACAAAUUAUUAACAAAACAAUCAAAUUCAAUCGUUAAGGCGCUGUGCAUAGUCAAAAUAGGAUUGAUUUAACCGAUUCGUUGCGACGCCCAUUUUGGUGCACUUUUAUGCGUGGCGACGAACAAAUAUUUCGUGACACGACAGUCGUGUCAAGCGCCAUAUCAGUUGAUGACACGCCUAUUGUGCCAUCAGCCAUGUACAGAAUAAAAUGUUCUUUUUUCUUUUUUUCAAGAAGCACCUCGAGAAAUUUCGAUUUGAGCGAGAUAAAAGACAUUUAAUGACACGACACGCGUGUCAUACGCCAUAUGUAAAAAUUGGAUGGCACGCCUGUCGUGCCAUCCGCAACGAAUCGGUUAACAGUGUUUUUGCCCAAUGUUUACAUGUUAGAGCAACAAAAAAAAAUAUAUGUUAAUCUUGAUCAUUUUUAUAAAUGGACCACCUUCUUCAAAACACGUUUUCUAUAAAUUUUCUCGAUAGAAAAAAAUCAUAAACUAGCCAUUUAAAUUGAAAUUCUAGCCAUUGUAACUAUAUUAUUUAUGAACAUAUCUUAAUAAAAUUAAUAACAGUGACGUAAUUUAAAAUAAUAAAAGGAUCUGCCGCAUUUAUUUAUCGAUUGAAAUGAGAUAUUUGUAAGGAUUAAUAUAAUUCAUGAUAAAUAACUCAGAACGAAUCGAACAAAAUGUCGUCCGAUCAUGACAUCUAUUCGUUUCUCUUUCAUUCCUACGCGGACCGGCAGUGACCGCUGAGGCGCGCUGCUUGGUGGACCUAUGUCAGUUUGUGUCAAUCGCCGCUCAGAAAAUAAUCAUUCACUAACAUAUCUUUUUGCUGUUUGUAAUAUUUUAUUUUGUAAUUAGCAUUUUCUAAGUUGGGUUGUCAGUAUAUUUUUUUGUACGAAAUCGAUUUGAAUUAUAAGUUGUGUAAAUACAAUUAAUUUUUUCUUAUACUAUUACCGCGUAGCAUGGUGCAGAUGACACAUUCAGUAACGUUCCGUAUCAUUCUUAAAAGGAGAAGGGGACUUUUGGGCCCAGCAGUUAACUAGUUGAAAUGUAUAUUAAAAAAACCGUCAUAUUUUUCUAAGGGAAAUCACAAAAUAUGGUACCUUGUUUCUAUCUAGGAAGCGAGAAAACUUAAAUUAAGUUGUGUAAUAAUGUAUGUAAAAUAAUGUAUGUAUAACGUACUCUUUGAUUUAAACUUCUUAAAACACUUCUGUCUGACUUCAGUCAGUCACCGAUUGACAGAUGACACUUUCCCUAUACUUAUUAUACUCUUUGGAUGACACUCGUUCGUUGUGUUUCGUUCUAAGUGCGCACGUAUUUUCCAUGUUUUAUUGUUUAACCCCACGACCUCGGCUUUAUAAAGGACUUUUGACGGAUCUUGAAUCUAUAAAUUACCUGACUCUCUAUUUUGGACAACUGCAACAAGCCUAUCAAUCGAAUAUUGACGACAUAUAUCGCUGUGUAAAUUGUACGAUUGCGACUGGUCGCUGUAACUCUAUUGGCAGAAGAGUCUUGGAAGAUGAGGCGACUUUAUUAGUUAUUCGUCAGUGGCGUGCAUCUCAGCCUGUAUAAUAUGGUAUCUCAGUUGGGAAAGAUACCAAUAAAAUAUACGUACCCCGAACCCCUACACAAUUCUAAGAUGACAUUCUCCUAAUUAUUCAAGAUGAUUAAUACAUAUUUUAUACUAAUA